UGGGGAAUUUUGCGCAAUGGGGGAAACCCUGACGCAGCAACGCCGCGUGGAGGAUGAAGGUCUUUGGAUUGUAAACUCCUUUCGAGUAGGACGAUUAUGACGGUACUAUUAGAAGAAGCACCGGCUAACUCUGUGCCAGCAGCCGCGGUAAUACAGAGGGUGCAAGCGUUGUUCGGAAUUAUUGGGCGUAAAGGGCGCGUAGGCGGUGUGGCAAGUUUCUCGUGAAAUCUAUGGGCUCAACCCAUAGCCUGCGGGGAAAACUGCCAUGCUAGAGUGUGGGAGAGGUGCGUGGAAUUCCCGGUGUAGCGGUGAAAUGCGUAGAGAUCGGGAGGAACACCAGCGGCGAAAGCGGCGCACUGGACCACAACUGACGCUGAGGCGCGAAAGCUGGGGGAGCAAACAGG
rnacentral:rRNA from 1 species